GGAUCCCCUGAAGAGCAAGAGAGAAUAUACUAUUGAAAAGAAUUCUUUCAAAUACAUACUGACUUAAGAAAAGGUCUCCUAUUACCAUGACUACUCAUCACAGCCAUUUUGCAUACUGCUAAUUGCAAUGUCAGGUGUCUGAAAUAAAGUGGCCUGUGCUCCUUCAGUGAUCUACAGGACUUAGUGGACCAUUUGUGUGUUUCCUGUCUGCACAGGUCACAAGCGCUCAAAUUGUUCCCAG